rnacentral:tRNA from 1 species
GGAAGUGUGUCCGAGUGGUCGAAGGAGGCAGUUUUGAAAACUGUUGAGGGUUUGCGCCCUCCGGGGGUUCGAAUCCCUCCACUUCCGCCA